rnacentral:lncRNA from 1 species
CGAGCACCCCAGGCGGGCACCCCGGAUACCUUGCGGCGGCAGACGGGCGCCGUCAUCUCCGCGCUUCUCGGCCCGGGAGGGACUCGAAAGGCCCCGACCUUCCAGCUCUGGGGCUGCCGCCUGGGAGCAUGUUCUCCGUCCAACAAAUUCAACGCUGACUCGGCUUUUGUCACCUUCCCUUCCCCACACUCCACAACUGAUGCUUAAGCGGCGGCUGCCUUGCCCCCAAGAGGCCGAGGAUGGCAGAGGCCCCUACCACCACUGUGUCCCCACCCUUCGAUGGCACGCCUGAUGCUGUGUCAUCCACGUCGCCCUCCAAGGCGUCAGGGAAGCCACACGCAGUAUCUCUUUUUCUCAGAGAGCUCCUCUUUCAACGCCGAAAAGCAGGGGCCUUCCUCUGAGCUGCUCUCCAGCUCUAUGCUCCGGCUACCGCGCUUCGCCCUAGCUGCAGCGGCCCAAGGUAUCAUCCAGCCGAGAGAAACCAGGCCCGGGCUGUGCUUCCUCCAUAAAGCAGCUGACAUGUUUCCAACUGUUAAUACUUUUCCUACCGAGGUUCUGAAAAGUGGCCUGUUCUCGGCCUUUGGAAACAUCUCAGACAAAUAAAGGCCUGCCUGUGGAGGAAAUGGGCAGGCCUCUAAACAGGAGCAAUAGUUCACACAGUCACCAGAGAAUCAGUGCCUGGAGCUCCCGUGCUGUAGCGCGUUCCAAUGAGAAGGCACAGGAGGG